rnacentral:sRNA from 2 species
UCUAUUUCUGAAAGGCAAUGGGUUAAUUGCCGACAGGUAUUCUAGGUCCAUAAUUUAAAGAGUAAUAAUUUAGUUUAUUUGAGCUCCACUGGUGCCAGUCAGAGCUGGGGUUGGCUGCUCAUCGAGUUAGGUGGGAAGGGAGCAAUUAUAUUAUUUAAACUGCGGAAUUCAUUGCAUGCUAGUUUCUCUAUGUGCUAGGACUAAAUAAACAGAGGAAUCCAUUGCUACAGAACACCAGGGCAGUUCUCACUAGAUAGACGGCCGCUGUUCGAGUCUCUGGGGGAAAUCAUUCAAGAUUCCUCACAGCCUCUUGGGAACUUCAAACCAAAACAGGAGGGUAAAAGUAAUAUAAAAUGCAAGCAGGGAAUGAGUAUGACCUCCGCGUGGCGAAAUGGGGGUUGCAAUGGGAUGGCCGUCCGACUCCAAAAUUUCGAACCAGGUAUAAGGAAUGAUCGCAUUGGGAACUAGAUUGUUGUUGAUUUCAACUUCUCGCCUAGCUCAUCAACGGUUUUAUCCACGCUCUGAACUACUGGCUGGUUCUCAGCCACGUCGGCCUCCGUGAGUAUAUGUUCGGCUUUUGCUUGAAUGUCGAUUUCAGUAUCAGUCGCUACGCUUUCCCAUUCCCAUUCCUCCGCCUCGUUCUCCUCCUCCUCCUCCUCUUCUUCUUCUUCCUCCUCGCCUUCUAGCUCGUCAAGUUCAUCUAGACCCCAUGCAUCUUCCUUGUCAUUUUUUCCAAAUCGUGCUUUGCGUCUCUUCAAUAGCUCUUGUAGUCUCAUGAUAUUUUCGUUAUCCUCAUCAAAAGCAUUCGCAUUGAGGAAAACCUUCUUAAGCGCGGGGAGGCUAGUUUUAGCAACAUGAACCAACGCUCCCACCCCCUUGCCAUUUAUCUCGUUCCCUUUCAGCUUAAGAAUCUCAAGUUUCGUGUUCCCGCCAGCAGAAAGCGCCUUCGCAACCCGGAGCCAGCCCUUAGCCGUGAGGGCACAGUCGUCAACCCCCAGCUCGCGAAGAGAUGGCAAUCCCGACAAUACCGCGGCUAGAGCAACAGAGCCUUCCUUCCCAUACGUAUUAUCUUCCAAGUCGAAGACUUCCAACUCAGGCGCAUGACAAAUGCCUGUGUUCAGUAGUUUUACGACGCCCUUGGAAUAAAUGCCAUUCUGCUUCAUCCUAAUUGUCCGAAGUCCCUUGCCGUUUGCCUUAAUAGCCCGUGCCCAUGCUUCCAUGCUUCCAGCCUCGAGUCUGUUCCGGCCACAGACGAUGGUCUCGAGGGCUGGGAUUUCAUAUUUUAUUUCAGGGUUGGAUCGCGCUUUGAGUUUACUCUCGCUAAGCUCUGUUAGAGCAUUCGCGAUAAAUGUACCUGCCUCUGGGCCUAGGCCAUUGUUGUUCAAUAUCAGGUGGCGGAGGGGGAGGUGCGCUCUUAGAAACUCGACGAGGGGAUCUUUGGUAUUCACGCCGAAUGCGUUAUCGCUGAGAUCGAUGGCUUGCAGGGUGUGGACGUCAAGGAGAGGUCUGAGGAGGGAGUAGAGCGCGGUAGGGAUUUCGCUAAGCAGGCGACCGGUGAAAAGAUCGUCCAGUCGUACGGUUUCCAGGUUUUUUUGUUUGCGCAAAAGCAGUCCCAGUUUCCUACAUGCAUCGGGGCUGUAUGAGUUACCCCCAAGGUGUACCUCAGUGAAGACAUCGUCAGUGUUGAUGAGAGGUUCAAUAUAUUUUUCAAGAUCCUCCAGGCGAUCGUCGUCCACCUUUUUGAGCUCAGCGUCGAUCUGUCUGAUCUCAUCUUCGAUUUUCUUCAAUUUUGUUUCUUUAUCCUGUUUCGCCUGCAGUUGGCGUCUCUCCCCUUCCAAUAUUCUCUUUUCCUUUUCAAGGAUUUCUCUCUUGGAGUCAAAUCUCUGGCCUUUGACCCCAAUGACAAAGAGGAUAUGUGGAGGGGUCAUGGCGGGGUAAAUAUUGCUGUGCAAGGACACGAUCGUUCAGGAGGAGUAAGAAAAAUAUCAGUGUGAGUAUUCCAGCAAGCCAGCUGCUAUUAGAAGAGGGAAUCAGAAGGGUGAAUGUACAAGCC